CAAUGGAACUGAAACACGGUCCAUACACCUACGGGUGGCAGCAGUAGGGAAUAUUAGAAAUGGACGAAAGUCUGAUCUAGCGACACCGCGUGUGCGAUGAAGGCCUUCGGGUUGUAAAGCACUUUUUGGAAGGAAUAGGAAGGAAGGUACUUCCAGAAUAAGUCUCGGCUAACUACGUGCCAGCAGCCGCGGUAACACGUAGGAGGCAAACGUUAUCCGGAUUUACUGGGCGUAAAGCGCGUGUAGGUGGUUCUGUAAGUAGGGCGUGAAAGCUCCCGGCUCAACUGGGAGAGGCCGUUCUAAACUGCAGAGCUAGAGGAUGGUAGAGGGAGGUGGAAUUCCAGGUGUAGCGGUGGAAUGCGCAGAUAUCUGGAGGAACACCAGUGGCGAAGGCGGCCUCCUGGACCAUUCCUGACACUCAGACGCGAAAGCUAGGGUAGCAAACGGGAUUAGAGACCCCGGUAGUCCUAGCCCUAAACGAUGUAGACUAGACGUCGGCGGUGUAAUAGCUGUCGGUGUCCAAGCUAACGCGAUAAGUCUACCGCCUGGGGACUACGGCCGCAAGGUUAAAACUCAAAGGAAUUGACGGGUCCCCGCACAAGCAGCGGAGCGUGUGGUUUAAUUCGUUGCUACACGAAGAACCUUACCUGGGUUUGACAUAGCAGUGGUAGGGAAGAGAAAUCGGACCGACCCUUCGGGGAGCUGUUACAGGUGUUGCAUGGCUGUCGUCAGCUCGUGUCGUGAGAUGUUCGGUUAAGUCCGCUAACGAGCGCAACCCGCGUUGUGUGUUAUAUGUGUCACACAAUACCGCCGGUAUUAAGUCGGAGGAAGGUGCGGAUGACGUCAAGUCAGCAUGACCUUUAUAUCCAGGGCUACACACACGCUACAAUGGUCAGUACAACAGGUUGCCAAGCCGCGAGGCGGAGCCAAUCCUCUAAAGCUGUCCUCAGUUCAGAUUGCAGGCUGCAACUCGCCUGCAUGAAGUUGGAGUUGCUAGUAACCGCAGGUCAGCUAUACUGCGGUGAAUACGUUCCCGGGGAUUGUACACACCGCCCGUCAAGUCAUGGAAGCUGGCAACACCUGAAGCCGGUAUCCUAACCCGUAAGGGAGGGAGCUGUCAAAGGUGGGGUCGGUGACUGGGACUAAGUCGUAACAAGGUAGGUGUACCGGAAGGUGCGCCUG
rnacentral:rRNA from 1 species